GACGAACCGUGCAAACGUUGUUCGGAAUCACUGGGCUUAAAGGGCGCGUAGGCGGGUUCCCAAGUCGGUGGUGAAAUCUUUCGGCCCAACCGGAAAAGUGCCGCCGAUACUGGGAGUCUUGAGGGAGGUAGGGGUCGGGGGAACUGGUGGUGGAGCGGUGAAAUGCGUAGAUAUCACUAGGAACGCCGGUGGCGAAAGCGCCCGACUGGACCUCUUCUGACGCUGAGGCGCGAAAGCCAGGGGAGCAAACGGG
rnacentral:rRNA from 1 species